GAUGAACGUUAGCGGCAGGCUUAAUACAUGCAAGUCGUGGGGCAGCAUGAGUAGCAAUACUUGAUGGCGACCGGCAAACGGGUGAGGAACACGUACACAACCUUCCUUCAAGCGGGGAAUAGCCCAGAGAAAUUUGGAUUAAUACCCCAUAAUAUAUUUGAUAAGGCAUCUUAUUAAUAUUAAAAGCUUCGGCACUUGAUGAUGGGUGUGCGGCUGAUUAGAUAGUUGGCGGGUAACGGCCCACCAAGUCUACGAUCAGUAGCUGAUGUGAGAGCAUGAUCAGCCACACGGGCACUGAGACACGGGCCCGACUCCUACGGGAGGCAGCAGUAAGGAAUAUUGGACAAUGGACGAAAGUCUGAUCCAGCCAUGCCGCGUGAAGGAUUAAGGUCCUCUGGAUUGUAAACUUCUUUUAUAUGGACGAAAAAAGGGCAUUCUUGUUCACUUGACGGUACCAUAUGAAUAAGCACCGGCUAACUCCGUGCCAGCAGCCG
rnacentral:rRNA from 1 species